rnacentral:rRNA from 1 species
UACGUAGGGGGCAAGCGUUGUUCGGAAUUACUGGGCGUAAAGGGCGCGUAGGCGGCACGGCAAGUCAGGCGUGAAAGCCCUGGGCUCAACCCGGGAACUGCUUUUGAAACUGCCGAGCUAGAGUGCGGAAGGGGCAACUGGAAUUCCCAGUGUAGCGGUGAAAUGCGUAGAUAUUGGGAAGAACACCUGAGGCGAAGGCGGGUUGCUGGGCCGACACUGACGCUGAGGCGCGAAAGCCAGGGGAGCGAACGGG